rnacentral:rRNA from 1 species
UACGUAGGGGGCAAGCGUUGUCCGGAUUUAUUGGGCGGAAAGAGCGUGUAGGCGGCCAUACAGGUCAGCUGUGAAAACUCGAGGCUCAACCUCGAGACGUCGGUUGAAACCGUAUGGCUAGAGUCCGGAAGAGGAGAGUGGAAUUCCCGGUGUAGCGGUGAAAUGCGCAGAUAUCGGGAAGAACACCUAUGGCGAAGGCAGCUCUCUGGGACGGUACUGACGCUGAGACGCGAAAGCGUGGGGAGCGAACAGG